UACAGAGGUCUCGAGCGUUGUUCGGAUUCAUUGGGCGUAAAGGGUGCGUAGGCGGCGGGGUAAGUCUGAUGUGAAAUCCCGGGGCUCAACCCCGGAACUGCAUUGGAUACUGCUCUGCUUGAGUACUGGAGAGGAGACUGGAAUUUACGGUGUAGCAGUGAAAUGCGUAGAUAUCGUAAGGAAGACCAGUGGCGAAGGCGAGUCUCUGGACAGUUACUGACGCUGAGGCACGAAGGCUAGGGGAGCGAACGGG
rnacentral:rRNA from 1 species